rnacentral:rRNA from 1 species
AAGGUAGCAUAAUAACUUGCCCAUUAAUUGUGGGCUAGAAUGAAAGGAUAAACGAAAUAAGACCUGUUUCAAGAUAAUAAAUAAAAACUAAUAUUAAAGUGAAGAAGCUUUAAUAAAACUAAAAGACAAGAAGACCCUACAAAGCUAUAUCAAAAUUAAUAAUCAAUUUAUACUGAUUUGGUUGGGGCGACCAAGGAUAAAUCAACCUUAAUUAAUAACACUAAUAAGUGAAAUAUAGACCCUAUAUUAGACUACCAAAUAAGCUACUUUAGGGAUAACAGGCUAAUAUUACUUAAGAGUUCAUAUCUACAGUAAAGAUUGGCACCU